GUGCUGACCCAUCCCUUCCACAGGCACAAGUAAUCAAGAACGCCAGGUCAGCAGGCAGUUCUGCUAAGGUGAGGCCAUCCUACAGCUCUCGGCAACUUACAAAGGAGGGCUCAGGUGAAGGCCACGUGAACUCAAGGCAUCGUUUCAUUCUCAGAAACCUCGCACUCACCUGCUGAGGACAAUGGAGUCGGAAAGGGACACCCUAGUAGGAAAGGAAAAUUGUCCCAGUGCCUGUGGAGGGUGCAGGGAUGUUCUACCUGACAGAGUAAUGGAUCCAUCUCCCCUGAUGCAAGAAGUGUAUCCUGCAUGCUGAGAGUCUCACCUGGAGAGGAAUUUGCCAGUCAUGGGAUGGGGCCAUCUUGGAAGUGGAUCCUUCAGCCUUAGUCCAGCUGACAUCUAGUGGAGCAGAGAUGAAUUGUCCCCACCAGGCUCUGGCCAAAUGACAGAUUGGAGCUGGCUGGCCAAUGAAAUGUGGAAGAGGUGGGGUCUAGCUCACACCGAUACUUGGCAGGCCUUAGGAGCAUCUAGUUCCAUCUUGGUAUCCUGCCUGCGGGAAGAGAGGAGACUUCUGUGCAGCUGCUCUUUGCCCCAGUCCACAGGCCAGUGACCACCCUGCCUCUAGAAAGGUGAAGCCUUCCUGGACCAGUCCACCUCCCAGUGACCAACUGCGGAUGCGUGAGCAAGCCAGUUAGGACCCUCCAAGCCUGGCGCAGCGCAGAGCAUCUUGGAUGCUUCUCUCACCUGAGUCACCUUGGCCCCAACCAUGAGUGGAGGAGAGGACCGGCAGCGCAUCCCCCAGCAGGCCUUCGUCACAUACUGAGAACUGGUUGCUUCUGGACCUGUGAGCUUCACGCUGCAAAAGCGCUCUGAGGUCUCCAAGAGCUGUGACCACACCAGCGCAGGGCACGUCGCGCAGGGGGUGAGUGCUGUCCCCACCUGCCGUCCU